GACGAACGCGGGCGGCGUGCCUAAUACAUGCAAGUCGAGCGAAGUUUUUCUGGUGCUUGCACUAGAAAAACUUAGCGGCGAACGGGUGAGUAACACGUAAAGAACCUGCCUCAUAGACUGGGACAACUAUUGGAAACGAUAGCUAAUACCGGAUAACAGUAUUUCUCGCAUGGGAGAUAUUUAAAAGUUGGUUAUGCUAACACUAUGAGAUGGCUAUGCGGUGCAUUAGCUAGUUGGUGGGGUAAAGGCCCACCAAGGCGACGAUGCAUAGCCGACCUGAGAGGGUGAUCGGCCACACUGGGACUGAGACACGGCCCAGACUCCUACGGGAGGCAGCAGUAGGGAAUCUUCCGCAAUGGGCGAAAGCCUGACGGAGCAACGCCGCGUGAGUGAAGAAGGAUUUCGGUUCGUAAAGCUCUGUUGUUAGGGAAGAAUGGAUAUGUAGUAACUAUACAUGUACGAGACGUACCUAAACCAGAAAGCCCGGC
rnacentral:rRNA from 1 species